AUUCGGUUUCCUUUUUCGGUGAGAAGAGGGAUUAAAAGGGAAUCCGGUGAAAGUCCGGAACAGUCCCGCUGCUGUAAGCCCCAUUCAGGGAUGGCGGAAAACCACUGUCAGGUUCCAAAACCUGAUGGGAAGGUCGCCAAAACCCGGGGUAAGUCAGAAGACCUGCCAAUUCGAU
rnacentral:ncRNA from 1 species